UUAUUUUUGCUAUGUUCUACAGACAUGAACAUUUGCCCACUGCCGUGUGCUACUCUGCCUUGGAAACAACCCGGUAUGGACUGAAACCUCCACAAACUGAUCCACUUCUUCACUAUGUUUACACAAUCAGAGGGAGCAGGCAAGCAGAACCCUUGUGUUUAUGCCCGUCUGUACAUUGAUGUGAGAACAUCGGUACUACACCAAGGAUUCUUCUUGGAAUGGGGAAUACAUUUAUUAGAAGACAGAAAGGAAAAAGGAAGUACAGAUAAAAUAAGAGAAGAAAGCAGUGGAGGCAAAUAGCAAAAAGUGGAAAAAAAUAUUUUCCAUCCCUUCACAAAGAGAAGAAACACUGUGAGAGUAUGCAGGUG